rnacentral:rRNA from 1 species
UCUACGGAGAGUUUGAUUCUGGCUCAGAACGAACGCUGGCGGCGUGGAUAAGACAUGCAAGUCGAACGGAGAAUUUCAAUAGCUUGCUAAUGAAAUUCUUAGUGGCGGACGGGUUAGUAACACGUGAGAAUCCUACCCUUGAGUGGGGAAUAGCCUUUCGAAAGGAAGAUUAAUGCCCCAUAGUCUCUACGGAGUAAAGAUGCCUUCGGGUGUCGCUUAAGGAUGGGCUCGCGGCCUAUCAGCUAGUUGGUGAGGUAAGAGCUCACCAAGGCAACGACGGGUAGCUGGUCUGAGAGGACGAUCAGCAACACUGGAACUGAGACACGGUCCAGACACCUACGGGUGGCAGCAGUCGAGAAUCAUUCACAAUGGACGAAAGUCUGAUGGUGCAACGCCGCGUGGAGGAUGACGGCCCUAGGGUUGUAAACUCCUGUCAUCAGGGAGUAAGACUUAUUCGUUAAUAGCGUGUAAGUUUGAUAGUACCUGAAGAGGAAGGGACGGCUAACUUCGUGCCAGCAGCCGCGGUAAUACGAAGGUCCCAAGCGUUGUUCGGAAUAACUGGGCGUAAAGCGUGUGUAGGCCGCGCGGAAAGUCGGAUGUGAAAGCCCAAGGCUCAACCUUGGAACUGCAUCCGAUACUCCCGUGCUAGAGUAAUGGAGAGGUAAGUGGAAUUCUCGGUGUAGCAGUGAAAUGCGUAGAUAUCGAGAGGAACAUCAAUGGCGAAGGCAACUUACUGGACAUUCACUGACGCUCAGACACGAAGGCUAGGGUAGCGAAAGGGAUUAGAUACCCCUGUAGUCCUAGCAGUAAACGGUGCUCGCUUGGUGUGGGAGGGUUCGACCCCUUCUGUGCCGGAGCUAACGCGUUAAGCGAGCCGCCUGGGAAGUACGGUCGCAAGACUAAAACUCAAAGAAAUUGACGGGGACCCGCACAAGCGGUGGAGUAUGUGGCUUAAUUCGAUGCAACGCGAAGAACCUUACCUAGGCUUGACAUGCUUGUCGUAUUCUCCCGAAAAGGAGAAGUCGCUUCGGGCGGACAAUGCACAGGUGCUGCAUGGCCGUCGUCAGCUCGUGUCGUGAGAUGUUUGGUUAAGUCCAGCAACGAGCGCAACCCCUGUGAACUGUUGCCAGCGGAUAAUGCCGGGGACUCUGUUCAGACUGCCCAGAUCAACUGGGAGGAAGGUGGGGACGACGUCAGGUCAGUAUGGCCCUUACGCCUAGGGCUGCACACGUACUACAAUGCCCAGCACAAUGAGAACCAAUACCGUGAGGUGGAGGCAAUCUGUAAAACUGGGCCCAGUUCGGAUUGGAGGCUGCAACUCGCCUCCAUGAAGUUGGAAUCGCUAGUAAUGCCGUAUCAGCUACGACGGCGUGAAUACGUUCCCGGGUCUUGUACACACCGCCCGUCACAUCAUGGAAGUCGGUCGCACCCGAAGUAUAUGCGCUAACUCCUCGGAGAAGCAGUAUCCUAAGGUGAGGCUGGUAACUGGGAUGAAGUCGUAACAAGGUAGCCGUAGGGGAACCUGCGGCUGGAUCACCUCCUUU